UGCGACGUCGAGCGGUAACAGAUAGUAGCUUGUCUACUUUGCUGACGAGCGGCGGACGGGUGAGUAAUGCUUGGGAACAUGCCUUGAGGUGGGGGACAACAGUUGGAAACGACUGCUAAUACCGCAUAAUGUCUACGGACCAAAGGGGGCUUCGGCUCUCGCCUUUAGAUUGGCCCAAGUGGGAUUAGCUAGUUGGUGAGGUAAUGGCUCACCAAGGCGACGAUCCCUAGCUGGUUUGAGAGGAUGAUCAGCCACACUGGGACUGAGACACGGCCCAGACUCCUACGGGAGGCAGCAGUGGGGAAUAUUGCACAAUGGGCGCAAGCCUGAUGCAGCCAUGCCGCGUGUGUGAAGAAGGCCUUCGGGUUGUAAAGCACUUUCAGUCAGGAGGAAAGGUUAGUAGUUAAUACCUGCUAGCUGUGACGUUACUGACAGAAGAAGCACCGGCUAACUCCGUGCCAGCAGCCGCGGUAAUACGGAGGGUGCGAGCGUUAAUCGGAAUUACUGGGCGUAAAGCGUACGCAGGCGGUUUGUUAAGCGAGAUGUGAAAGCCCCGGGCUCAACCUGGGAACUGCAUUUCGAACUGGCAAACUAGAGUGUGAUAGAGGGUGGUAGAAUUUCAGGUGUAGCGGUGAAAUGCGUAGAGAUCUGAAGGAAUACCGAUGGCGAAGGCAGCCACCUGGGUCAACACUGACGCUCAUGUACGAAAGCGUGGGGAGCAAACGGGAUUAGAUACCCCGGUAGUCCACGCCGUAAACGAUGUCUACUAGAAGCUCGGAGCCUCGGUUCUGUUUUUCAAAGCUAACGCAUUAAGUAGACCGCCUGGGGAGUACGGCCGCAAGGUUAAAACUCAAAUGAAUUGACGGGGGCCCGCACAAGCGGUGGAGCAGGUGGUUUAAUUCGAUGCAACGCGAAGAACCUUACCUACCCUUGACAUACAGAGAACUUACCAGAGAUGGUUUGGUGCCUUCGGGAACUCUGAUACAGGUG
rnacentral:rRNA from 1 species